rnacentral:rRNA from 1 species
UACGUAGGGGGCGAGCGUUGUCCGGAAUCAUUGGGCGUAAAGCGCGUGUAGGCGGCUCGAUAAGUCUGCUGUGAAAGUCCAGGGCUCAACCCUGGGAUGCCGGUGGAUACUGUCGAGCUCGAGUCCGGAAGAGGCGAGUGGAAUUCCUGGUGUAGCGGUGGAAUGCGCAGAUAUCAGGAGGAACACCAAUGGCGAAGGCAGCUCGCUGGGACGUGACUGACGCUGAGACGCGAAAGCGUGGGGAGCAAACAGG